rnacentral:rRNA from 1 species
GAUAAACGCUGGCGGCGUGCCUAAUACAUGCAAGUCGAACGGAAGUUUGUAGCAAUACGGACUUUAGUGGCGAAUGGGUGAGUAACGCGUUGGUGAUCUGCCCCAAAGAGGGGGAUAACAGCUCGAAAGGGCUGCUAAUACCCCAUGUGGUUCUAGAGGUUAGAGCUCUAGAACUAAAGGAGCAAUCCGCUUCGGGAGGAGCCUGCGUCCCAUCAGCUAGUUGGUAGGGUAAUGGCCUACCAAGGCUACGACGGGUCGGGGGCCUGAGAGGGUGGCCCCCCACACUGGCACUGAAACACGGGCCAGACACCUACGGGUGGCAG